GAUGAACGCUGGCGGCGUGCCUAAUACAUGCAAGUCGAGCGAACAGACGAGGAGCUUGCUCCUCUGACGUUAGCGGCGGACGGGUGAGUAACACGUGGAUAACCUACCUAUAAGACUUGGAUAACUUCUGGAAACCGGAGCUAAUACCGGAUAAUAUAUUGAACCGCAUGGUUCAAUAGUGAAAGACGGUUUUGCUUUCACUUAUAGAUGGAUCCGCGCCGCAUUAGCUAGUUGGUAAGGUAACGGCUUACCAAGGCAACGAUGCGUAGCCGACCUGAGAGGGUGAUCGGCCACACUGGAACUGAGACACGGUCCAGACUCCUACGGGAGGCAGCAGUAGGGAAUCUUCCGCGAUGGGCGAAAGCCUGACGGAGCAACGCCGCGUGAGUGAUGAAGGUCUUCGGAUCGUAAAACUCUGUUAUUAGGGAAGAACAAAUGUGUAAGUAACUAUGCACGUCUUGACGGUACCUAAUCAGAAAGCCACGGCUAACUACGUG
rnacentral:rRNA from 1 species